UGUGAUGUGUGUUGUCGUUGCUGUUUCUGUAUAUGCCCAGUUGCAUUUAAGGAACAAUUGUAUUUUAUCAGGUGUCCUUAGGAUAUCGAGCCAUCGUAUCGUUAUCAAGAUACCUACUUCAUUCUCUCGCAACGCUUUUCAUAUCUUAGGGCAAAAUAGGCGAAUUCUGAUCGAACUCAGCCGACCUAUAAUUUCAAAAUGAAUUUCAUGAACAUCCGCGACGGUCAGUACACUAUGACCAUCUAUCAAAAGAUACGGGAAGGUCUAUACAAGGAAGCAGUGCAAAUUUUGAAUGCCAUAUUGGAUACAUACCCCACGUCUCGGGCGGCGCUGUCG